UGAAGCAACCAUUGGCUGAUGCUUGGAAUAGACAAAGGACAAUGCGUAGAGGUUGCCAGCUGCAUACACUGAGGAGAUGUACUCGAUAAUUUUUUUAAAAGGGAGGAGCUUACAACAUUGUGUGCUGUUAUUGAAUAGCCACUGUAGUAUUUCAACCUCUGACUCCGGGCUGGUUAGCGACUCGUCUGGCUCAUCUGUUGAUUUGCGACCUCGCCUAAAAGAGUACUUUAUCGGUCAUCUUUGCAGCGUGUCCACUCGGGACUGAGACAUGGAUGACGACUUCGAGAGGCGCCGGGAGCUGAGGAGGCAGAAGAGGGAGGAGAUGCGCAUGGAGGCCGAGAGAAUUGUCAGUGUGAGGAAUGACGAUGAUGAGGAGGAGGCUGCGCGUGAGAGAAGGCGAAGAGCUCGCCUGGAGAGGCUCCGCAGCAAAGACAUGGAUGAGAACUCCAGCACACCUGACACUACUGACAUGAAUAGCCACAGUGUGUCGGUGUCAGAGGUCUCAGUGGUGAGCUCCUCAGUGGGAGGAGGAGGAGGAGUAGAUGAUGAAGAGGAGCAGGCUCUGCAGGACCGCCUGGCCAAGCGGGAGGAGCGCCGACUGCGCCGCCUCAAGGAGGCGCAGGAGCGCCAGAUCGACGUCCCGGAGACCGUCGCCACCGACAACAGCCUGGAGGAGAGGGCGUCCUUCCGCCGCGGACGCUCCUACGAGCCGGAGCCGGAUGUGGAGCCCGAACAGGCGGUGAAAGUGGAGAGGGAGGAAGAAGAAGAGGAGGCUGUGGAGCAGGAGGAAGAGCCGCCGGCAAACCAGGUGGAGGACGAGGAGAGGGAGGAAGAGGUGCCGAGAGAAGUGGAGAAGCCCAGAAGAUCAUACAGACAUCAGGCUGAUGCUGAGGAGCCAGCAUUGCUAUCAGAGUCAGUGGAGGAGGAGUCAGAGCACUCAGGUGAGGGAGGAGUCUCGGCCACGCCCGAGGCAGAGGGGGAGGGGCUUACCGACACGCCCAGUGUGGCGGAGGCAGGCGAAUCAGCCUCGGCUCCGCCCUCUGAGGUAGAUGCUCUGGAACCUUCUGUUGCCCAAAAUGGGGUAACAGAACACAUGACUGAGAUGAAGGAGGAUGAGGACGAUGAAGAGAUUCCUGAAGGCGAUGAUGAUGAGGGUUUGGUGAGCCAAGAGGAUGAGGAUGUGGGCAGGAAGAAGGAGUCGGCCUCGUGGGCCAAACAGCAGAAUGGUGGUGUCCAUGACGACAUCUCUUCUAGGCACAAGAAACCAGAGAGAACCCUAAGCCGUGGCAGCCUGCGCUCGCCCGAGGCUCCUUCAGCAUCUCCGGUGGGUGCGGAGGAUCGCGGCGAGGAGGACGAGGCGCGUCUGGAGGCCGAGCGCAAGCUGGAGGAGCUGCGGAGGAAGCGCGACGAGACGGAGAGCGAGGAGUUCGAGCGCAUGAGGCAGAAGCAGCAGGGGGCCGAGGAGGAGCUGGAGGAGCUCAAACGCAAGCGGGAGGAGCGCCGGAAGGUGCUGGAGGAGGAGGAGCGCUUCCGCAAACACGAGGAGGAGGAACGCAAGGCCCGCGAGGAGGAGGAGAAGAGGAAGAUGAAGGAGGAGAUUGAACGGAGGAGAGCGGAGGCGGCGGAGAAGCGGCAGAAGGCCGAGGAGACGGACGAGGGAGAGGUCAAGAGUCCUUUCAAGUGCAUCAGUCCCAGAGGCUCCUCCCUUAAGAUCGGAGAGCGAGCAGAGUUCUUGAACAAGUCUGCACAGAAAAGCACUGCGAAAGCGGGUAACACCCCUGUGGUGUCGAAGAUUGACAACAGACUGGAGCAGUACACCUCGGCAGUGCAGUCUAACAGAGACGCACGCUCCCCCAGGUCCGGGGCCAGUGACCUCCCUGUGGUGACGGACGGCAUCCGUAACAUUAAGAGCAUGUGGGAGAAAGGCAAUGUGUUCGGCUCCAACAGCGGGGCCGGAUCCACCAACAAGGAUGCAGCUGGGAUAAAGGUGGGCGUGGCCGGCCGCAUCAACGACUGGUUGAAUAAAACUCCUGAGGCAGGCAAAACUUCUGGAGGAAGGCCAGUGGACCUGAAGCCAGGGGACGUGACUGGCAAACGCAGUUUAUGGGAAAACAUAGGCUCCUCCCCAGCCAAGACCUCUCUUAGAUAGUUGUCUCCAUAUCUGGAAAGGGGCCGAAGAGGUGACAGGCAGAGAAAGUAAAUCCGUUGCUAAUGGAAUGGGACACUAGUGAUACAAAGGAGCAACAAAGAAACUGCACGUCCAUUCCCUUGUUAUUUUUUUAUCCAAUGCAUUUUUGUUUUUCCAUACCAAAAAAAAAAGGAGAAGAGAAGAGAUGGAGAGAAGUCUUUCUUAAAGUGGCCUAAGGGUAUUGAAUAGAUAGGAAAGAGAGAAGGAGAGUAUGUAUAGUAGCACUGUAGAAACAGACCACCACAAUGUGCGGUCAUAUUUACGGUGUAGUACCCCCUUUGCACAGGUUUACUUUACGGAAACUAUGCUGUGAAAUUUGGACACUUUGGAAUUAUGAUUUGAUAUAUAUAUAUAUUUUAUAUGAAACUUCCAACGAACAAAAAAAGUCAUGUCAAAAGGUAAAUUGAUCGUACGUUUCGUACGUACAUUCAUACAUACGUACGUGAAGACAAUCACAACAUUAUCAACAAAAAAAUAAUAAUAAUGAUUAAGGUUUUAUUUAGCACAUGCAUUUAAUCGGCCAGACUGUUGUCUUCUGGCCUCAGCUCUCUGGUUCACUCUCUUUUUUAUUUAAUUUAUAAUUAAAGCAAAGCUUCACAUAUUGAUAUGUUAUUCAUGAUCACCUGUCCAGGAUAGCAGUAUGAGCACCCAUAGCGUAGCACAUUGUACCUUUCUUUAUCGUCUAAUCAACACUUGUAAUAGUGAACACAGCGGUCUGAAUAGUAUAUAGCACAUACUGUGUGUUUUUAUUUUGUCAUGAACUAUUAUCUUUCUUGUAUCACAGCUUCUUGUGUUGUAUGCAAGCCGUGACGCUUGUUGUCGUAAAAAAGGACAGUCAGACAGACAUCAAAGCAGUUUGGUUUUUUACAGAUAAUCGUUUUUCAGAGCAGUGGUAUUAUUGUAACCACUAAUCACUUUGCUCAUUUCUCUGACGUGUAUUUUUGAAUUGUUUUUAUUUUAUUUUAUUAUUUUAUAAUUUUUUUUAGUGUCUGGCUUCCACUUCUGUUAAACCACCACAGCUCUUUUCCAAAAGCGGACACUUAGCUGGUAUAGUGGCCAAUCACACGGCUGAGUAGAGAUGAGAGAGUGGCCACACAAUACAGGCCACGGGGCCGCUUCAAACCAAAGACAAUUUUUUUACACCCAAAAGGGGAUUGUGGGUAACAAAGACAGGUCAGUUCGCUAUAGAGGUCAGAGGUCGCUAUAGAGGUCCACAAUAUGGACAGCAUGGCAGGCACUUGUGCACUCCUCACUGCACAGAAAGCCCAGCCUAGAAACACAACUGAACCCUAAAUCAAUUCACUUUGGGAAAGCACUGUAAGUCAGAGGCAUGAUAAAGAGCUCUCCUGUACUUGAGACUGACUGAAUGAUUAUUUCAGUGAGGCAGCUUGCCCUCUACGCUGCAGACCCGUCCAGUCCACCACCAUACAUUUCCCUCGCCAGGGCCACAGGCAUGUAGUGUGCAGGGAAAUGGUCUUAAGAAAUCAGUGCUACGAGGUCCUGCUGUUCAUAAAGACAAUCAUCUUGUUGUAUUCUUGGUCUGGGAGGUGUGACAAACGUCACCCAAGACAGGGGCUUUAAUCAGUGGUCUUAAGUCUUUCAUCGGAAGAAAAAAAAGAAGGGAAUAUGUUGACCACAACCUGGACUGUAGAGAGGGAGAUUGAAAUCAAAUGCACUGGCCACUAAAAGUUGAAAAACGCCGUUAGCUUCAGUGGCUAGCAGAGGUCAGGUAGAAUUCCCCCGGUUUUCUCUUACACAGAGUAUCCUGGAGCAACUUGGAUCAAAAUGAACAUUAUUCAUUAAAUGCUUUCUGAUUUGUUUUUUCUUUAUUUAAAAUAUGAAAACAAGAAAUGUGAUAAUGGAUAGGCAUUUAAAGCAUAGGCAUUUUAAGUUCACACUUUUAUGAGGACAGAGACUAGGCUCCAAGCCGUUGUCAUGGACCAGUGUUUAUUGUUAUUCUUUGGCUUUUUUGUAACUGAUACAUCAACGGUAUCGUAAGAGGACUUGUCUGCAAAUGUGUAAUAUCUACUUUUACAAUUAUGAGUUUUAAAGGUUCAGUAAUAGACUACCAUGUGUUGCAUUUCAGGUUGGUUCAAUCAUUUUGCAUGACUCUUAAUUGAAGGGUGUCUGCGUCUUUUCACAAGCAAAUUAUAUUUAUGUAUUAAAUGUGUUUUUUUUUAAUGAAUUUUGAUACAAUAUUUAGACAACCAUUCAGGAAAAUGACUACAUUCCCUCACUAUUUUCACUUUCUUUUCAUGUUAUUUUCUUUCAUUGUGUCUGUGUUCACUCAUUGCGUAGAGAUAACACUAUACAGGUGGCACCAUCAGUAGACCAAGUCAUCAUCAUGUUUAUCAUAGCCAUUAGCUUCAUACAGAAUGAAUGUUUAACUGUUGUACCAUUGACCAACUGCAAUAAAGAGAUACAUGAGAAAAAAAAA